GGUGGAUGAUGUUUCUUUCUGGGCUGUACAAGCACUUCCUGUUUUUCUUCUUCUUCAUCUAAAUUUAUCACUUCUCCAAGAUAAUAAUUUAUUUUCUUGGAGUAAACAGGAACUUGAGGAUGAUUUUUAUUUAAAGGAACAAUAGUCACCUGAUUAAAAAUUUCUCUAAUAUGCCCAUUGUGACCAUCUCUUCUUUCCUCAUUUUCUCUCUCAUUUUUUUCAAACCUCUCCUCUUCCUUCUCUUCUUCACCACUUUCAAUGUCGUCACUCUCGCUCAUCUCUUCAUCUUCCUCCUCACUGCUUCCUAUGUCAAUAACUUCCUCUUCUGCUUUUC
rnacentral:lncRNA from 1 species